GCCUCGCUAGCUCAAUCGGUAGAGCGUGUGACUCUUAAUCACAAGGCUGCGGGUGACUUUUAAUCACAAGGCUGCGGGUUCGAGCCCCGCGUGGGGCU
rfam:Wallemia ichthyophaga EXF-994 unplaced genomic scaffold scaffold21, whole genome shotgun sequence.